GAGUUUGAUCGUGGCUCAGGAUGAACGCUGGCGGCGUGCCUAAUACAUGCAAGUCGAGCGAACGGACGAGAAGCUUGCUUCCCUGAUGUUAGCGGCGGACGGGUGAGUAACACGUGGGUAACCUACCUAUAAGACUGGGGAUAACUCCGGGAAACCGGGCUAAUACCGGAUAACACAUGAAACCGCAUGGUUUCAUGAUGAAAGACGGUCUUGCUGUCACUUAUAGAUGGAUCCGCGCUGCAUUAGCUAGUUGGUAAGGUAACGGCUUACCAAGGCAACGAUGCAUAGCCGACCUGAGAGGGUGAUCGGCCACACUGGAACUGAGACACGGUCCAGACUCCUACGGGAGGCAGCAGUAGGGAAUCUUCCGCAAUGGGCGAAAGCCUGACGGAGCAACGCCGCGUGAGUGAUGAAGGUCUUCGGAUCGUAAAACUCUGUUAUUAGGGAAGAACAUAUGUGUAAGUAACUGUGCACAUCUUGACGGUACCUAAUCAGAAAGCCACGGCUAACUACGU
rnacentral:rRNA from 1 species